rnacentral:lncRNA from 1 species
CAAGUUCCAAUCCGCCACGACGACGAGAGAUUCGGAUAAGCCACAGCCCACAGGCGCGCGCGACAACAAUGGCCGGCAGCGACACCGCCGCGGCCUCGGCGCAGGCGGACUCCGCCGCCGCCAUCUGCGCUCAGAUCGCCUCCGUCUUCUCCGCGCCCUCGUCGCCGCACCCGCCCGCGCGCUCCGUCCUGGUCUCGGAGCUCGAGGCCGCGUCCUCCCGGGGCGGCCGCGUGUUCGUGCAC